rnacentral:lncRNA from 10 species
AGAACAGGAGGGGAAGGUGAUAGCCUUCUCCCAAGUCAGAGGAGCGAUGGGUAUUGAAUAAAUCACAACAAAUAUGUGAUCUGUCCUGCGAAUGAUAUGAAAAAUUAAAUACGAAGAAAAGUGAAGACAGGGCUUCUCAAAUGACAGAGCUGCAGAGAGGGUGAAGGGGGAGGCAGAGGGAGGCAGCAGGGGGGAGGAGGAAGAGUGCUAAAUUUGUGAAAAGAAAAACACUGAUGCCGUGCGUAGUCUGAAAGAUGACAUGUUUUCCUAGUCCAGAUGGCAUUUUUUUAAAGAGUUUUAACUUGCAUUUUCUGAUUGAACAGCCUUUGCUUGGCUACUGUUAUUAAUGUUAGAAAUCGGGGCUUGGGCUCCGGUUUUCUCACCAAUGCAGGUUGACACUGCUGUUCAGGUGAAGGAGAGUUCAGAGUCUCAGAGAGCAGCAGCAGCUUGUGCUUCUGGGAAAAUGGAAGGAUGACUCCCAGGCAGCCGAUCCUGCCACUCCGUAAAAUGGAAGAACCUUGGCUCCCCGUGUGAAUUCUCUUUGUGAUUUGGAAGACAAAUACCUCUGCUGAGUUGUCUAUGAACAGAUGCUAAGAUAAGAGUCGAUGGUGCCGUGAACCAAGGUACUGACAUAGCAGCUGGAGAGAAGUGAAUGGAUUUCAAUGAUGUAAGGGAGAUGAACUGACAACAAAAUAAUUGUUGAUAAGAUCUGGAGAUUGAGAGAAGAAUGACAGAAUGACUGUAGGAUCUUGAUUUGCGCCAAGUGAAUGGAUGCUGCUCACUUAGAAGAAGAUUUUUGUUUUGGAAAAAUUCUUUUUAGAUGAAGCAGUUUCCUUGUUUUGAAAAAUGGACGAUAGCCCAGGUGCAGUGGCUCACACCUGUAAUCUCAGCACUUUGGAAGACUGAGGAGGGCGGAUGACCUGAGGUUGGGAAUUCGAGACCAGCCUGACCAACAUGGAGA